AUUUUUUUUUUUUUGGAUAUUAAUUGAGCGAGGAUAAUUAUCUUGUUUCUUUGUGUUGUUAGUGAGUUGAUAUUAUUGCUUAGAGUAGUUGUACCAAUUUUCUAGAGAGAGUUAAAGUUGUAUUAACUACGAAAGUAAAAUAUUAUGGUAUUUUUACAGAGUAAGUAAUCGUUUAAUUAAAGCCCAAUAUGAAGGUCCAUUAGGGUUUUAUAAUAUGUUUAGUGAGUUUAAUUAAUUAAUGUUAAAAAUUCGUAGGUUUGGAUAAAUUCGCAGGAUUAAAAACUGUUUUACUAAAAUAAUCAUAUCUGGAGUUCUAGAGCUCGGAUUGAGGUGAUUUCAGUGGCGUUGGAAAGAUAAUUUAAAGAUCUAUAAAUUUUGUAGAAAUAACUAUAUCAGAAUUCGUAAUUUUUCUAGGUCAAAACUAAGCCCUAAAGUUACGAGAUUGAGAGCUUACAAUUUAAAUUUAAAAGUUAGAUAUUUGUUUAUUUAAUAAUUUAUCAUAUUAUUAUUGUUAUUAUGUUAAUAUUAUUAUUAUUCAUAAAACUAAAGCUAAUAAGAGUCAGAAUAGUAUAGGUUUCAUUAACCCUAAAAUUAUAUCGUUCUAUUCUUCCCACCUAUCUGAGCAAGACUAACCCUAAAAAUUUUCAAGUCAUCUUUCCAUUACAUCCUUAGCCAAAUCUAUAUCACUAUUCACUCUCAUCUUUGAUCACCAUCAUCUUAUGUCUAUCGAUCCAAGUAGCUUGAUGUAUUUGAGGUAGUAGUGACGAGAUAACAAGUUUAAGCAGCGGGAUUUGAGGUAUUAGACAGGGAAGUAUGUAUAGUGAGCAGGGUCAGUUCUGGUACGUAUACUGUGAGCGGCUACGGGCGGACAAACGAUCUAGAACGCCAGUGGUGCCUUAGUUUUAUUUUAAGCAGUUGAUAAAUCUAACACAGUGGAAAUGCAUUAUUUAAAAUUAUUUACUUACUGUAUCUUGUUUUACAAAUGAAGGAUCCUUCUCUGUUGCAUUUUGAUUUUUUUUAAAAUCCACUGUUGUAUUUAAAUUUUUUUUUUUUUUAUCUUUUCAAAUUAUGCAUGAAAGUAGUAUUUUUUGUAAAAUAAGGCAAAAUAUCGGGGCGUUACAGUUGGUAUCAGAGCCGAUCGUCCGUUAGCCCGAAGGAUACUCACGGUAUACAUACAGAAGACUGAAAAAGAUCCCUCUCACUAUUAUGUAAGUGUUAGUUUUAAUUUUCUUGGUAUUGCCAUUAAUAGUUUUAUAUGUGAUACAUAGAUUUUUGUUAAAAUAUGUUUCCUAGAAUUAGUGCCUCAUCUGUAGUGUGUGCUUAGAGAAGUUAAGAGUAUAUUACCUGUUAUGAUUGAUUACACUUUUUAUGAAGAAUAUGAAUAGGUUUUAUUUUUCUUUAUUGUCUUGAAUUGAAACUAGGAAGGACAGUGU